AACUUGUCCACCACGUACACAGCACUGUUAAAUAAAAUUGCACACAUGGAACAAUGGUUAUCAACUGAGGUAUCUUCUAAAUGUGAAUAUUUUGGCCUUCAAUCAUUCCCUCCUCACUUCCUUCUCUCUCUGACUUUAAUACAGUGGACAAAUACGGGCACAUGUAAUGCUUAGGGAUGGUUGAACAAAUUCCUAUGCAAAAGUCAUUCACAGAAGACAAGUUUUCCUAUGAAUUUCAACACAAAAGCAUACAAAAUAUACUAAUUUUACUAAAUACUUUGUCAUACACUGGCAACCUCUUUAACAUCUAGAGACUAGACUAGAUGCUGCAAAAUUAGGACUCACCUGUCCAUUAUAUACACUAUAUACAGAGCAAAACAAAAUGCACAAAAGAUACAGAAAAAUGGUGUCUGAAAAAGUCCAACUAUGAACAUACUAGCGUAUUACCUUUUGCAAUUUCUUCCCUCCUACCUCUUCUAAACCAUUGAACAAGUAUAGACAGCACUAUACUUCUCACAAAGGUGGCUUCACAAUUCAAUUUCCAAAAGACAGUAUUUCCUAUGAAUUUCAGCAAAAAGAUAUUUACAAAAUGGUAUUUUACUACCUCUACAUUUAACAUUCAUCAGGCACUUCUAAACAUCUAGAUAGACUAGAUGUUUCAAGUAAGGAGUUAAUUUGUCCACUUUGUACAAAGCAGUCUUGAAUAAACCGCAAACAUGUAACAACAGUUAUAAUUUGAAAGAAUCUUCCAAAUAUGAACGUUCUGGCCUAGAACCCUUCCUAUCUCCAACAACCCAGUGGGCAAGAAUGCUCAAAUUUUCAGAGGACAAUCUUUCCUAGGACUUGUAAAACAAAAUGUCUUCCAGCUCCAUGUCAUCUAACCCACUGAACAAACGUGGAUGUAUCGCUUCCAGGGGCUGUCUAAUAACUCCAUUUCCAAAAAUCAUCUCCAGAAGACAUUUAUUUUGUACGACUUCCUUUAAACAAAUGAGAAUUUACAAGAUGUGACUUUCUAACUCUACUUUAUCAUACGUCAGGAACCUCUUUCCAUCUAGAAGGGCUAGAUGUGACAAAUGUUUUCUAUCAACAGGCUAGGGUGGAGUUGAGGGCAGGUUUUUCAUAUUGUAUACACAGGCCUUCCAUAAAUGGCCAGUAAAUCUUCCCAAAGGGUGGUGGGCAUUUCCAACGGGCCAAAAGUGGCCUGUCAUUCUACCAUUUCUCCCAACAGCAAGAUCUGGUAGAAGGAAGACCAGCCGCCCCAUGGCCCCUAACCUUCCACCCGUUUUUCGGGACUUCGCUCACCUCCCAGGCCCCUUAAGGCCUUUGUCGGUAUGUUAAGGCCUUUGUCUAGGUAGGUCUCGCCCAAUGGGGACAGAUCAGUCGCCCAGGGUUCCGGAUCUACGCAGCUCCGUGGCCUAAAGAGACAGCCGAGCCUGCGUGCGUCCCUAGGCCGCCUUCCGGUUCCGCCACGCCCUAACGGCUUCCAUCGCCUGGCGUUUGGGUGGCCGCCAUGCUUCCGGGCCCGCCACUCCCGCCGCCACCCAAAGACACUGCGUUCCGGCAGGCUUGGGCUGGGAGACCCGGUGUUGGGUGGGGUCCCGGCAGGGACAAGCCGCUGCCGCCAUCAGUCACCGAGGUGGGGUGGGGAUGAGAGGUUCGCCGCGGCUUCAAGACCUGGGUCCGGCCAGUGGGCAGCCACAUCGGAGGCCUCAGGAUUAUCAAUCACAGUCAUAUCUAUAAUGAAACUGGAAGAAAAACUACACAGAAAAGAAUUCAAAGUGAUUUGGCACUGCCUUCUGCUUGGCCCAUCUGCUGUUAUUUUUUUUCUCCUACUGGCAGAACGUUAGACAAUAUUUCAACUUAGCAUCUCAUAGGCAGUUAAACAACGGACAAGGCAUUUCCCUCAAUAAAUCUCCUUCACUACUAACUCUGUCUUGGCACCUGAACCAACACCGGACCUAACCAACACAGUUUUGAGGAAGGCUGAAGAAGAGUGGGCUGGAGAAGAGGAAAUGAUACCAUGUUCUUUUAAGAAAAAAGAGGAAAAAGCCCACAAGAUGAACACUAUGGUGUAUAACCCUGUCAUGUCUUUUUAGCAAUGAACUUUGGAGCCCUGGAAACAAGUAGCCCUAAGUUACAACACUCAAUUUUAAAGGUCCAGCCUCUCUUGGUAUGUCAUGAAGUCUGAUAACCUGUGGAAUCCUGUUGCCUCUUAACAGGAUGCUAAGAGUGGCACAUUCCAGUCAGAGUUGAACAACAGUUUGAACUGCAAAGGUCCACCUGAUUUUUUUCUGCCUCUGCUACCUCUGAAACAGCAAGAUCAGCCCUUGCUCUUCCUUCUGCUCCUACUCAACAUGAAGGCACAAAGACGAAGACUUUAUAAUGAUCCAUUUUUACUUAAUAAGCAGUGAGGCACUGAAGGCAGGCUCCCACUAGUCUUUAAUGGAAAUAUUACAAAGUAGAAGGUA